UGGAGAGUUUGAUCCUGGCUCAGGACGAACGCUGGCGGCGUGCCUAAUACAUGCAAGUCGAGCGAGGGUUUUCGGACCCUAGCGGCGGACGGGUGAGUAACACGUAGGCAACCUGCCUGUAAGACUGGGAUAACAUAGGGAAACUUAUGCUAAUACCGGAURGAGUUUUGCUUCGCAUGAAGCGAAACGGAAAGAUGGCGCAAGCUAUCACUUGCAGAUGGGCCUGCGGCGCAUUAGCUAGUUGGUGAGGUAAAGGCUCACCAAGGCGACGAUGCGUAGCCGACCUGAGAGGGUGACCGGCCACACUGGGACUGAGACACGGCCCAGACUCCUACGGGAGGCAGCAGUAGGGAAUUUUCCACAAUGGACGAAAGUCUGAUGGAGCAACGCCGCGUGAACGAUGAAGGCUUUCGGGU
rnacentral:rRNA from 1 species